UAGGUGAAAGCUUACAUCUCUUCGGAGCAUUUUACGAGGUGCUGCAUGGUUGUCGUCAGCUCGUGUCGUGAGAUGUUGGGUUAAGUCCCGUAACGAGCGCAACCCUUGUCCUUAGUUACCAGCACGUUAUGGUGGGCACUCUAAGGAGACUGCCGGUGACAAACCGGAGGAAGGUGGGGAUGACGUCAAGUCAUCAUGGCCCUUACGGCCUGGGCUACACACGUGCUACAAUGGUCGGUACAAAGGGUUGCCAAGCCGCGAGGUGGAGCUAAUCCCAUAAAACCGAUCGUAGUCCGGAUCACAGUCUGCAACUCGACUGCGUGAAGUCGGAAUCGCUAGUAAUCGUGAAUCAGAAUGUCACGGUGAAUACGUUCCCGGGCCUU
rnacentral:rRNA from 1 species